rnacentral:tRNA from 1 species
CAGAGUGUGGCGCAGGGGUAGCGCACUGUCUCGGGAAGGCAGGGGUCGGAGGUUCGAGACCUCCCGCUCUGACCA